ensembl:lncRNA
GAUGAAACAGUGUUUUUUCUUUCCUCUGUCUCUUUAAUCAGCAAUCCAUCAUCACCUCUCCUCCCUGGACUCACCUGUCUCCCCUCCUCCCCCUCCUCCCCCUGUGUUACCUGGCAGCCUGCUGCUGCUGCUGCUGCUGCUGCUUCUGCCGCCGCCGCCGUUUAUUUUCUCUGGGUUUGGUUUUUCUACCGCCGCUGCCAGAGACAAUAUUAUUCUGGAAACCUGCAGGUGAUUUCCUUUCAUCUCCCCGCCUUUGAUUUCAUGGUGACGUCCAUUUCAUGCUCAUUUCCUCGUGGCGCCUCGCCUCAAGGCCGGCUUUCAUUCGCCACGAAACGGCCUCUUAUGCUCUGACCUCUGGAUCAGUCCGGCUGCACAUCUGGAGCAACACCAGACCCACUAUCCAGCUGUGGACCAGGACAUCUGGAGCAACACCAGACCCACUGUCCAGCUGUGGACCGGGACAUCUGGAGCAACACCAGACCCACUGUCCGGCUGUGGACCGGGACAUCUGGAGCAACACCAGACCCACUGUCCGGCUGUGGACUGGGACAUCUGGAGCAACACCAGACCCACUGUCCAGCUGUGGACUGGGACAUCUGGAGCAACACCAGACCCACUGUCCAGCUGUGGACUGGGACAUCUGGAGCAACACCAGACCCACUGUCCAGCUGUGGACUGGGACAUCUGGAGCAACACCAGACCCACUGUCCGGCUGUGGAAGAGGACUGAACGAUCAGUCCGGCUGCUGGUUCAUAGAUGGACAAAUAUUAGCACAAAUUCUGGAGUUUAGUUUGUUCCUCGUUGAAAAGACACAAAACGACAAAUCAGGUCACUGAGUGGUGGCAGCUGCUGAUUCCUAUAGGUCAUUUUGUGUUAAUUUGUGGUUCUUUGUGUCUUUUAGUGGUUGUUUUGUGUCUCUGUGUGGUUGUUUUGUGUCUUUUAGUGGUUGUUUUGUGUCUAUUUGUGGUUGUUUGUGUCUUUAGUGGUUGUUUUGUGUCUUUUAGUGGUUGUUUUGUGUCUCUGUGUGGUUGUUUUGUGCCCUUUAGUUGUUGUUUUGUGUCUCUGUGUGGUUGUUUGUGUCAUUUAGUGGUUAUUUUGUGUCUCUGUGUGGUUGUUUUGUGCCCUUUAGUGGUUGUUUUGUGUCUUUGUGUGGUUGUUUGUGUCUUUUAGUGGUUGUUUGUGUCUUUGAGUGGUUGUUUUGUGUCUCUGUGUGGUUGUUUUGUGUCUUUAGUGGUUGCUUUGUGUCUGUGUGGUUGUUUGUGUCUUUUAGUGGUUGUUUUGUGUCUCUUUGUGGUUGUUUUGUGUCUCUGUGGUUGUUUUGUGUCAUUUAGUGGUUAUUUUGUGUCUCUUUGUGGUUGUUUUGUGUCCUCGUCUACAGAAAUGUAUGUAUUUGUUCAUAAAGUUUUUAAAAUAGACGUCAUCAGCAGGAAUCCAGAAAGAGAAAAAUCAACACAUUGUUAGUUUGAACAUUUGCUUGUUUGUGUUUAAUAGUUGAACCUAGAGGUGUCAUUGAACCAGGAACCCUGUGAUCACAUGAUGAACUUGUUCAACCACUGCACCACAUGGUCAGCGGUUGAACUUCUCCUGGGAUUGGGUCUGGAUUGACGUCAGCACCACAGAAUGUGGAAACACCUGGGCUCCGUUUCAUGAAGCAGGUUCAACAAACUCUGAGUUUAACCCUGAACUCUGAGUUGAUCUACUCUGAGAUAGAAAACUCUGAGUUUUCGGUUUCACAACGGCUGAUUUGAGUUGGUUUAAUCAACUCAGAGUAGUUUCACCUGGAGUUAAGCGCGUGCACCACAACUCUGAAAAGCCAGUAUCAAUGGAGCGCCGAUUCGACGAGUCACCAUGGCAACGGGGAAGCGGAGGACUGCGUUUUUUACACCACUUGAACUGGACAUCUUAAUUCGUUCAUAUGGCGACUUCGAACACGUUUUUAGAAAGAAGUGCAACACCUGCAGCUGCAAAAGAGAGGGAGACGGUGUGGGAGAACAUUGCUGCCCUGUCAAUGCAUUGUGAUGGUGUUAUCUGCCUGGUGGAGCCCCUUCACACCACAACAGAGCUUGUAACUGUAAGUAGACAAUACUCCAGAGAUUUAGCCAAAUGGUAGUUUAAGUCCACUGAAACAUAUCAGUCAUUUAGGAUGAAGAGGAUGAAACUGUGUCUGCUGCCUUUACAGAGGGGGAUCCAGAAAGGCAUCUGGAGAGCAUGGCUGGACAGCAGCAGGAUGCUUCCUCAACUUCCACUGCACAGAUUGACUCAGUAAGAUGGAUGUUCAGUAAACACCAGAGGUUCAUUCUGUGGAAUUCAUGUGCAACUGUAUAAUUUAAUGUCCUUUAUGUAUUCCCAGUUACCAGUAAAACAAAUAUACAAAAUCCACUUGCUGAGAAAAAUACAAAAAACAGAUAAAGAAAUGCAGUACUUGGACCACCAGAUUAAGAAGGCAGAUCUGGAAAUUGAAAUACUGGAGCACAAGUUAGAGGUGGAUGCAGGUCACAGGUGAAUUAUGUGAACUACUGGAACAUGAACUAAACUAGCUCUUUUAUUUGUAGGAAAUAAAGAAGAC